AUUUAUUUAGUAUAUAGUACAUUUGACUUCCAAUCAAAAAGUUUGAUUUUUUUUAAUCAAAAUAAAUA
rnacentral:tRNA from 1 species